GGUCUCACACGGGAUAGGCAAUCACUUGACUACUGACUGUGUCCCCAGCCAUUUGGUUUUUUGUUUUGUUUUGUUGUUGUUGGUGGUGUUUUGCUUGUUUGUUUGUUUGUUUGUUUGAGGCAGGGUCUUUUUAAGUUAUCUUUGCUACAGCCUAAUUUGCAGCUUCAACCUACCAAUUUGUGCCCAGGAACGAGGACCAGGACUGAGGAUGCCCUCUUUCUGCACAAUGCCUGCACAUGCAGAGUCUCUGCAUUUUGACACCCACAAGCUCCGCAGCUUCCCUCUCCUACUGUGACUCAUCAGCAUUCUCCUUUCCAGUGUUUUGGAGUGGGUGUUGAUGGAGGGGAACGUGGAUUUCCAGAUAGCAUCUCAUGCAGCCCAGCCUGGUCUUGAACUCAUUGUGAAGCCAAGGAAGGCCAUGAACUCCUGAUUUCCUCUUCUACCUUCCAAGUGUGGAGAUUACAGACACACACACCUUUAAUUACAGAACUUGGGAGACAGAUUCGAGUGGAUCUCUGUGAGUUCAAGGCCAGCUUGGUCUGUAUUGCAAGUUCCCAGGCCAAGUAGGGCUACAUAAUGAGAUCCUGGCAAAAAGAAAAGAAAAGUAAGAAGGAAGAGGAGGAGAAGAAGAAAAAGAAGAAGGAAAAAGAAAAGGAGGAGAUGGGGAUAAAGGAGAAGAAGGAGAAGAAGAAGGAGGAGAAAGAAGAGGAGGAGGAAGAGGAAGAAGAGGAGGAGGAGGAGGAGGAGGAGGAAGAAGAAGAAGAAGAAGAAGAAGAAGAAGAAGAAGAAGAAGAAGAAGAAGAAGAAGAAGAAGAAGAAGAAGAAGAAGAAAGCAAGAGCAAGCUCCCUCCACUGCUUUGUGUUUUAAGAGAGAAUGACUGUUCAGUGUCCCUGGAAACUCACCAGAAAGCGAAUCAUUGUGAAGCAGCUCAUGUCUUCUCCAUAAAAAUAACGCUGCCUGCUGUUGAGACUGCCUUCUAGAGGAAGAAUUGGCAUGAGAAGCCAGGCGUGACUGGCGAUGGCACAGGAGCAAAGAACUAUAAACCUUUAUCGUCACUUCAUAUAAUAAACGUAUAAUAUAAUAAACUUAAUAUAAUAAACGUGCGCUCUGAUACCUUUUCAAAUGCCCAGAAAUGGAGAGCGCACCCUGAUUACACAGAAGGCCAUAAAAUGAACAUGCUGCACAUAAAAAAAUUAUACCGUUGUAUAAAUUUU